UUCAGUUCUGGCGGUUUCAGUUAAUGUUUGGGACUCAGAAGUAUAAGGGAAUAAAAAUUAGAUUUUGGAAGGAGACACAUUUUGAGAAACUCCACACCCCAGUUUGGACUAGCUCCUCCAUGUCUGCCAUUUAUACUCUGUCUUUUCCCUGGCUUCUUGUGGAGUUAUAGAGCAGCUUCAGAAGACUAUAGUGUGUGUGGAUGGAAUGUCAUUUCCUGAUCUUUACAAAAUCUAAUUUUGUUCCUGUCUGUCAGAAAACACCAGAGACAGCAUGAUGCAACGGAUUGGGAAAGCCAGGUGCCAAGAAGGCAGCUCUGGAGGUCCAGAGGGAUCUAAGGAGCAUGACUCAAGAUUGAGCCAUGGACUUGGUGAGCAGUGCUUACUGGGACAAGAGGAGUCUCUAUUUGAUUAUGCUUCUGGAGCAAGGUGCAAGAAGAGGACUAAAUAUGAUUCAAAUACUUCUCAGUCUAGGUGCUGCAGCUUGGACAUUGGACUACAAAGCUUGUGAUGGAUCAGACCACACUUGAAGGGGACCGUUUGAAUGAAGGAAGAGGGUGAGAAGCAUUUCAGGUGUGUCAGCACCCAUGGGAUAGCAGGUUGUCAGGAUCCCAGCACAUCACCAGGAAACUCUGGGAGACAGCUGGAUGAACAGAGGAUGGGGUCUGACACGGGAGGACCUCUACCCUGCAGAGAGCCAAGGACAGUGCAGGCUGUGGCCAUCCAAAGGUGAGAGUGGAGCUGGAGCUUUGUGCCCCCACCCUCUGCCCCUUAGAAGGAUGCCUGAAGAGAGUGCAGGAAGGACACGGGAUGAAGGGAAGAAGACCCCCAACUGCAAGCAACAGCUGAUGGCCAGCAGAAGCAGAUCCCAAGGGAUGUAACUUGGGUGAAGGGACAGACAUUCCUUAUAAUGAAAGUCAUCACUCAGAAUCCUGGUCAAAGCACCCACAUGCAUUCAUAUUAUAUCAUUUUACUUUCUAUCUAAACUACUACUUUCCUAUAAUCUCAGAGUGGCUAAAGGAUGGGCUCUGUCCUUUUUAUGGUCUUGCCUUUCUUAGUCAAUGAUCUGGAUUCAAGCCAGGGUUUGUGUUGGCAAACCUCAGCAUUCACCAUGAGACUCCAUCAUCCUUUCUUUUUUCUACUCCUGUUUGUCUCUCUUUCUCUAAUAAAAAUCCUGAAAUGCCCA
rnacentral:lncRNA from 1 species